rnacentral:tRNA from 1 species
GCCGGGGUGGAGGAAGCAGGUAGACUCGAUCGCCUCAAAAGCGAUCGCGCGCAAGCGCGUGCGGGUUCGAAUCCCGCCCCCGGCA